GGAGGGCUGUGGCCCCGAGGUAGAGGAUCUGGUUUGCGUUCAGAAGGUCCGAGGUUCAAUCCCCGGUGUCUCCA
rnacentral:tRNA from 1 species